rnacentral:rRNA from 1 species
AUUGAACGCUGGCGGCGUGCUUAACACAUGCAAGUCGAUCGGUAACAGGUGUAGCAAUACAUGCUGACGAGAGGCGGACGGGUGAGGAAUAUUUGGGAAUCUGCCCAUCAGCGGGGGACAACCCGGGGAAACCCGGGCUAAUACCGCAUACGCUCUACGGAGGAAAGCCGGGGACCGCAAGGCCUGGCACUGAUGGAUGAGCCCAAAUCGGAUUAGCUAGUUGGCGGGGUAACGGCCCACCAAGGCGACGAUCCGUAGCUGGUCUGAGAGGACGAUCAGCCACACCGGAACUGAGACACGGUCCGGACUCCUACGGGAGGCAGCAGUGGGGAAUAUUGGACAAUAGGGGAAACCCUGAUCCAGCGACGCCGCGUGGGUGAAGAAGGCCUGCGGGUUGUAAAGCCCUUUCGGUAGGGACGAAAGCUCUUGCUCUAACAAGGCAGGAGGUUGACUUAACCUACAUAAGAAGCACCGGCUAACUCUGUGCCAGCAGCCGCGGUAACAC